CGGAGAUGGAUGUUGUGAGUGGUGGUGGGCUACACAGACUGUGUGGUGCGAGUUUUCUGCUGGGAGGAGCUAGGUGAGGGUCCUGAACAUCUGACCGGGCAGCUGGUGUCCCUCAAGAAAUGGAUGCUAGAGGGUCAGGUGGACAGCCUGUCAGUGACUUUGGGGCCGCUGGGUGUUCCUGAACUGAUGGUGUCUUAGCCAGGCUGUGCUUAUGCAAUUCUACUGUGUACGUGGAAAAAGGACACAGGGUCCUCUCCUGCCUCUGAAGGGAUCAUGGAUGGCAGUAGGGAGGCCCCAGCUGCCCGAGAUGUGGUGCUGCACCAGACAUCUGGCCGUAUCCACAACAAGAAUGUCUCCACUCACGUAAUUGGCAACAACUCUCAAGGCCAUGGCACUGAGAGUGGUGGCUCUGGCGUCUUUGCCGUGAGCACACUGGAUGGGAUGCUGAAGCUCAUGGAGGAAGCAGACAGGCUGCUGUGGUCAGUGCAGGUGGAUCACCAGCUUUUCGCCCUGGAGAAAUUGGAUGUCACCGGCAACGGGCAUGAGGAGGUAGUCACAUGUACCUGGGAUGGACAGGCAUAUGUUAUUGAUCACAACCUCACUGUCAUCCGCUUCCAAGUGAAUGAAAAUAUCUGUGCCUUCUGUGCAGGCCUGUACGCCUGCAGGGGGAUGCAACAGCUCCUGUCUCAUAUAUGUCACUUUCAACCAGAAGAUUUAUGUGUACUGGGAGGUGCAGUUGGAGUGGAUAGAGUCUACCAAUCUUCUGAACAACUGGAGACCAGGCCCGAGUACCACAGCCUGCUGCAGGAGCUGAGCGUGGAUCCUGACAACCUCCCUGUGGCUCAUGCCCUGCUUCACCAAACUCUCUGCCAUCUGACCAACCAUCACAGUUGUGUUCCCUCAAGCCUCCAGGAUCCCACCUAGCUGUACUUGCCUCAUAGCUGAUGAAGGAUUCUUCUGAACCCCUACCCUACCCCGUCAAGGUAUGUGUUAUAUUGGCAGGAUAGGGAAUAUGCAUUACAGAAGUACAGGAUUUGACAUUGGGCAUGAAAGAUGGCGCAGCCCUAGGGUGACCACAAGCUAUACACCUCACGGUCUUUUUGAUGAAAGAAGAGACAAGUUGACCCUCUGCCCAUUUUCUUAUGGACCUCACCCUUCACACCAGCAAGGUCAUAGGACCGUGGCCUUGUUCCAAAUCAUCUGGGACAUGUCCUGCUCUCCACUUGCACUGUGUAGGAAACAGAGACUUGUUUGUGUAUCCCCAAUACCCAUAAGGAAGCCAGG